GACAGAGGGGGCAAGCGUUGCUCGGAAUUACUGGGCGUAAAGGGCGCGUAGGCGGGAUGGCAAGUCGGUCGUGAAAUCCCUCGGCUCAACUGAGGAUCGUCGAUCGAUACUGCCGUUCUUGAGGAUUGCAGAGGAGACUGGAAUUCCUGGUGUAGCGGUGGAAUGCGCAGAUAUCAGGAGGAACACCGAUGGCGAAGGCAGGUCUCUGGGCAUUAACUGACGCUGAGGAGCGAAAGCAUGGGGAGCGAACAGG
rnacentral:rRNA from 1 species